UGUCCCCCAGCAAUGGACAAAGAGACCCUUGUUGGUGUUGUUCUUAUAUCAGUCAGGGACAGAGCAGAUGGUCGUCCUUUGAUCACUCUAGCUUGAUGCCUAGCUUGGUGGCCAAAGCUGUUUUAUGCCUAGGAUGCGUAA
rfam:Mus musculus chromosome 2, GRC primary reference assembly.